GAGCUUAGAAAACAGCUGUUAAAAAAAAUGUUAUUUUUCCUCCGACUGUACGGACUAAGGAGGAAACGGAGUAAACAGAGAGCUUCGCCGGAAUCAUAAGGGGGAAAAUGGGGGUGAUUUUGAGCGCGUUUGAUGUAUGAGUAAGUGAUUUGAAUUUUAGACCUCAAUUUUUUUUUGAGUGAUUCAACAUGUUUUGUAAGUGAUUCAGAUUAAUUUGUUAAGUUGUGGUAAAAUUUGGAUUAACAUGAGAAAAAUCCAAUCUCCCUAGUGUUUGUUUUAGGCUCGUUUGUGCUUCACAUUAUGCGAUUAUAUCCUUAAUUAGGAGUUUGUGGAAAAGGAAUAGUGGAGAUGGAUUCAGAAAGUAAUUAAGUAAACGAGCUGAUUGGAUUCCAAUCAAUGGAAAAAAAAAAAAAACUGAAUAUGAUGAAAAUUGGAGAUAGAAAUAUUAGGGUUUUUUUUUUUUUUUAAUUUUGGGACUAAGAUAAGAGUGGCAAUUGAACUUCAAUUUUAGAUUAGGAUAGAUUAUUGAACAAUGAUUGCUAAAAAUGCUGUGAAAUAAAUCCAAGUGUAAAUGAGAUGAUUUGAUAUGCUAAGCACUAAAAUUAUUAAUUACAUUUAUAUCUGGACAGCGUUGUUAGAAUGCCUUGGGCUUUUGCUUGGUGAAAAAAGGAUAGAGAAGGGUAAGAACAGAAAAAGUGUUUAAUCCGAUGAAAGAAGUUAUGGGAUCUAACCAUUAGAUUCAAAGUUUUUGCAUCCAUACUCAGUUUCUAUCCUUCCUACCAAGCAAAGCUUUGAAGGUUGCAAUUGAGUCGUGUUAUUACUUACCAAGUGUUUAGAAUUCAGGAGGCAACACAAAUACCAAAAAAGAACUGAAUCAUUCUUACCUUUCUACUAUUGUGCUUGGAAUGGAAGAGCCUAUUCGAGUACUUUAUAUAAAAUAUUUGUUUGUUGAUUGGCUCGUGUGUGACUGCUGACUCCAAUAUUGAUGCAAAAACCUGGAUAAUUUAUUGCUUUGACAUAAAGAUUUCUGCCACUCAAGUUGAGGGAGGUGGGGACACAAACACUUUGCUAGUUUAUUCUUAAUGGUAUUAUGUUCUCCUAACCAUAUGCAUAAAUACCCGAUAACAUAUUUGAUUAAAGCUAAAAGCAUUUGUAGCGUUUUGCCUUUUAAAAAGUCUAAUGUAUGAGCACAAACUCUGUUGCUUUUCCUUCAUACAGACUUCUUAAUUGAAUCAAUGAAUCUUUUGUCUGCAAUGUCGUUGCUUGAGAUGUAAUCAAGAAAAUCUCUGAAACUGAACUCGUUGUAGGAGACAGGAUGUUGCUCAUCCACAAGCUCUGGUGCUGGUCCUAUUUUCUUGUUUAUAGGUAGACUGUGAAGACUAGCUAUGGACAACCGCUUGUUCUCCGCGCUUAGAGUCACUUGAUGAACAACACUCUUGUACUGUCCAUUGCUCAUCACUUCUAUUUGAUCUCCCAAUUGGACUAGUAAGGCGCCUUCAAC
rnacentral:lncRNA from 1 species